rnacentral:rRNA from 1 species
GCGCGAGCGUUGUCCGGAUUUAUUGGGCGUAAAGAGCUCGUAGGCGGCUUGUCGCGUCGUUCGUGAAAACCUGGGGCUCAACCCCAGGCUUGCGGGCGAUACGGGCAGGCUAGAGUUCGGUAGGGGAGACUGGAAUUCCUGGUGUAGCGGUGAAAUGCGCAGAUAUCAGGAGGAACACCGGUGGCGAAGGCGGGGCUCUGGGCCGAUACUGACGCUGAGGAGCGAAAGCGUGGGGAGCGAACAGG